ensembl:lncRNA
ACUCAACCACUUUGGACUUAUAAAUAAGUUUGUGCUGCCAUCAUCGUCAUCGUCAUCAUUGUCAUUGUGGUGGUCACCAUCCUCAUCAACGGAACAACGCCCAACAGCUCACCUCUCCUGAAGAGCAACGACUGAACUAUGAACCACACUGGACCCAUGGUGCAAAGCAGCAGCAUCUCCUCUUAAGAUAAGUCAGCUCUGUCACUCAGCCCUCGUUUUUGUGAAAACUGUCAAAGAAUUUCCAAGAGUGAACUCCAGAAGGAUUGAUGCUCCCGUAUAUAUGGGCUGCUGAUUCACUUUGGAGACAUUAUCAGCUUGCCAUAAUUUGUCAUUGCAUAUUCAUUCUUGACAUUCUGAAGGUUCUGCUGAGGCUCUUAAAUGGACCUUAGGCUUGGAGGUAGUAAAAACGUCAGCAGAAGAUGGAAUGAUGGAAGUGCUGUGGCCACACUGAGGUUUCUGCACCUGCCAUGCAGUGCCUGCUCACCUGUUCCCCAGGUGGCACCCUCUUCUGCUACUCAGUAUAGGCUAUUGCUCAGAACUGACAACAGGUUUCCAUUAACAAACUAGUUUAUGUCACCAUCACUGUAGUCAAAGACGUCUUUUCUACCUCUAGAGAGCCUCCUGCUACAGAUUUAUGAUGGGAAGAGCGAUGAAGAGAGGAAACAAUCAAGUCUACAAAGCCAAAAUGGUGAAUGAGAAAUGGUAACAGAAGGCAGAAUGGAAACCUGAAGCUUCCUCAGUCUCCUUUUGCUAUGGCUUCCUGAAACGGUGCUGUGAAUGUAACAUGGAAUCAAGAUCAGAUGAACUGCCCUUAUAAAACGCAUCACUUGUUCAACCCUGGAUUCCUGAAAUGCACCUAGGCCUUAGCUGGGAAAAACAAAUACCAGGAAAAAUAGCUCUAAUGUCAUGAGGCUAUUUUAGAUCAAGACUCCUUGUUUUCUAAGCCACUUUCAUCCUGUUCCUAUAUUGUUCAUCACUUUCUUUUCUAUUGUUACAGAGAUACUGUGUGCUGACAGCAAUUGGAUCCCUUGUCUGAGUUUGAAAAAUCAAGAGUGCAACACUUUUUUUUUUAACUUCAGUAAGCACUUGUAUUUAAUACUCUGCCACUGUGAGUGAUUAAAAAGCUAGACUGAGUAAGGGGUAAAGGUACACCACCACAGACAGCAACUAUUUGGAUUUCAUUUGUCUUGUGUUUGUUCUCACCCUUUGAAUGCUGGUAUCACCAGGAGAGGAGACCUGUGUUUACAUAAAAGAAUAAAUAAGAAAUGUGC